rnacentral:lncRNA from 1 species
UGUACCACUCAAAGGCGUUUCCUUUUAACGAGCGCACAAACUGCUUGGCGAGGUAAUCUCAUUCCGUCCCUGCAUUGUUGCAGGUUUCGACGAAAUGUGCGACAUGUUGCUUCGGGUUUCCUUUUCCAUCAAACUGCAUGAACUUUGGUGGUUGACAACCCUUUGGCAUCUUUAGGGCAUCAAUCUUCUUGGAGUAGGGCUUUGAGUAGAACGAUGAGGUAUGUGAGCUCCCUUCGUACUGCGCCUUGAUGGUGUUGGUGAUCAUCUCUUGCAGCUGUUGGAUAGAAAGAGAUCCUAUGAGUGCCUCUGCUUGGCCUGGCUCCGGCUUCACAUUGAUUUUCUCCAC